AGAGUUUGAUCCUGGCUCAGAACGAACGCUGGCGGCAUGCCUAACACAUGCAAGUCGAACGAACCCUUCGGGGUUAGUGGCGCACGGGUGCGUAACGCGUGGGAAUCUGCCCUUAGGUACGGAAUAACAGUGAGAAAUUACUGCUAAUACCGUAUGAUGUCUUCGGACCAAAGAUUUAUCGCCUAGGGAUGAGCCCGCGUAGGAUUAGCUAGUUGGUGAGGUAAAGGCUCACCAAGGCUACGAUCCUUAGCUGGUCUGAGAGGAUGAUCAGCCACACUGGGACUGAGACACGGCCCAGACUCCUACGGGAGGCAGCAGUGGGGAAUAUUGGACAAUGGGCGAAAGCCUGAUCCAGCAAUGCCGCGUGAGUGAAGAAGGCCUUCGGGUUGUAAAGCUCUUUUACCCGGGAAGAUAAUGACCGUACCGGGAGAAUAAGCCCCGGCUAACUCCGUGCCAGCAGCCGCGGUAAUACGGAGGGGGCUAGCGUUGAUCGGAAUCACUGGGCGUAAAGCGUGCGUAGGCGGCCAUUCAAG
rnacentral:rRNA from 1 species